CUAUCCUUCGGGAUAGUGGAAAGUGGCAGACGGGUGAGUAACGCGUGGGAACGUGCCUUUCGGUUCGGGAUAACUCAGGGAAACUUGGGCUAAUACCGAAUACGCCCUUCGGGGGAAAGAUUUAUCGCCGAAAGAUCGGCCCGCGUCGGAUUAGCUUGUUGGUGAGGUAAAAGCUCACCAAGGCGACGAUCCGUAGCUGGUCUGAGAGGAUGAUCAGCCACACUGGGACUGAGACACGGCCCAG
rnacentral:rRNA from 1 species